rnacentral:rRNA from 1 species
CCUGGUUGAUUCCAAGUAGUCAUAUUCUCGUCUAAAAGAUUAAGCCAGGCAUGUCUAAGCACACGCCCUAGCAAGGCGGAACCGCGAAUGGCUCAUUAAAUCAGUUAUUGGAUCCUUAGAUCGUACACAUUUACUUGGAUAACUGUGGUAAUUCUAGAGCUAAUACAUGCAAUUGAGCCCUCGUCCCUUUUAGGGUGAGGGUGCUUUUAUUAGCCAAACGGGGGCAAUUCCGAUAGUGGUGGUGACUCUGAUUAACUAUUGCGCAUCGCACAGUCCUAUUAAUGGCGACGCAUCUUUUAGGUGUCUGCCUUAUCAACCUUCGAUGGUAGGUUAUGCGCCUACCAUGGUUGUUACGGGUAACGGGGAAUCAGGGUUCGAUUCCGAAGAGGGAGCCUGAAAAACGGCUAUCACAUCCAAGGAAGGCAGCAGACGCGCAAAUUACCCACUCCCGGCAAGGGGUGGUAGUGACGAAAAAUAACAAUACGGGACUCUAACGAAGCUCCGUAAUUGGAAUGAGUACACUCUAAACCUUUUAACGAGGAUCUAUUGGAGGGUAGUCUAGUGCCAGCAGCCGCGGUAACUCUAACUCCAAUAACGUAUGUUAAAGUGUUGUUGGGGUUAAAAAGCUCGUAGCUGUAUCUCAGUCGUGCUCCCUUCGAUACGUUGCAAAUUGUUUAUCUUUGGGGCCGACAGCACGUUGAUGGGACCGUUUCGCCUUUACCGGUUGAUCUGGUUCUCCGUAAAUUUCAAUUUGAAAAAAAAAAGGUGCUCAAAGCUGGCUGGUGCCUGGAUAUUCGUGCAUGGAACACCAUAACUACCGAUGUUAGAUGCUAUCCAACACUGGUCCUUCUACCAUAACUACUGAUGUUA